UAGCUAUUUUUUAAGCCAACUGUGCUCUUUUCCCCAUGAGGGCCCAGUGUGCAGUAGCUGCAGACAGCUACUGAAAUAUUCAAUUUUUAUAUUUCAAUCUUGGAGAGUUGGAUAAAAUA
ensembl:snoRNA SNORA70 Small nucleolar RNA SNORA70